rnacentral:hammerhead_ribozyme from 1 species
AUCCAGCAGAAGAGUCCAUAAUACGACGAAAUGCGCGUCCUGGAU